rnacentral:rRNA from 1 species
AAUCAACGCUGGCGGCGUGCCUAACACAUGCAAGUCGAACGCGAAAGGGGACUUCGGUUCCUGAGUAGAGUGGCGUCCGGGUGAGUAACACGUGGGUAAUCUGCCUUCGGGUGGGGAAGUAACUCAGGGAAACGUUGAGCUAAUACCGCAUAAUGCAGCGGCACCUAAUGGUGAUUAGUUGUUAAAGCGGGGGAGUCGCAAGACCUCGCGCCUGAAGAGGAGCCUGCGGCA